rnacentral:rRNA from 1 species
GACGAACGCUGGCGGCGUGCUUAACACAUGCAAGUCGAACGAUGAAGCCCUUUCGGGGGUGGAUUAGUGGCGAACGGGUGAGUAACACGUGGGUAACCUGCCCUGUACCCUGGGAUAAGCCUUGGAAACGAGGUCUAAUACCGGAUAUGACCUGCUCUCGCAUGGGGGUGGGUGGAAAGUUUUGGCGGUGCAGGAUGGACCCGCGGCCUAUCAGCUUGUUGGGUGGGGUGAUGGCCUACCAAGGCGACGACGGGUAGCCGGCCUGAGAGGGCGACCGGCCACCACUGGGACUGAGACACGGCCCAGACUCCCACGGGAGGCAGCAGUGGGGAAUAUUGCACAAUGGGCGAAAGCCUGAUGCAGCGACGCCGCGUGAGGGAUGACGGCC